rnacentral:rRNA from 1 species
UACGAAGGGGGCUAGCGUUGCUCGGAUUUACUGGGCGUAAAGGGCGCGUAGGCGGCCAGUUUAGUCAGAGGCGAAAGCCCAGGGCUCAACCUUGGAAUUGCCUUUGAUACUGGCUGUCUUGAGUACGGGAGAGGUGAGUGGAACUCCGAGUGUAGAGGUGAAAUUCGUAGAUAUUCGGAAGAACACCAGUGGCGAAGGCGACUCACUGGUCCGGUACUGACGCUGAUGUGCGAAAGCGUGGGGAGCAAACAGG